ACGGGUUUGCCGGAACACGUGAUGAGCACUGCUUUAUCUGGGGAUAGCCUUUCGAAAGGAAGAUAAUACCCCAUAAUAUGUGGAUGGCAUCAUUCGACAUUGAAACUCCGGUGGAUAGAGAUGGGCACGCGCAGAUUAGAUAGUUGGUGAGGUAACGGUCACCAAGUCUACGAUCUUUAGGGGCCUGAGAGGGUGAUCCCCCACACUGGUACUGAGACACGGACCAACUCCUACGGGAGGCAGCAGUGAGGAAUAUUGGACAAUGGGUGAGAGCCUGAUCCAGCCAUCCCGCGUGAAGGACGACUGCCCUAUGGGUUGUAAACUUCUUUUGUAUAGGGAUAAACCUACCCUCGUGAGGGUACUGAAGGUACUAUACGAAUAACACCGGUACUCCGUGCACGGCGGAUACGAGGUGCAGCGUUAUCCGGAUUAUUGGGUUAAAGGGUCCGUAGGCGGAUCUGUAAGUUCAUGGUGAAAUCUCAACGUUUUAUUGUGAAAUGCUUGAUANUGGGGUCACUGAAUGUGGUGAAUAAUGGAAUAAUAAUGACAAGGAGAAUGCAUUAAAAUAUUAUUUAAAAAACCAUGGAAAAGGCGGAUAAU
rnacentral:rRNA from 1 species